rnacentral:rRNA from 1 species
GGACCAAGGAGUCUAGCAUGUGCGCGAGUCAUUGGGAAUCACUAAACCUAAAGGCGCAAUGAAAGUGAAGGUACGCCUCGAGCGGACCGAGGGAGGAUGCGUGACGGCGCGCUCUUAAAAAACGUGUCGUCGCGCCGCACUCCCGGGGCGUCUCGCACUCAUCGCGAGGCGAGGCGCACCACGAGCGUACACGCUGGGACCCGAAAGAUGGUGAACUAUGCCUGGUCAGGACGAAGUCAGGGGAAACCCUGAUGGAGGUCCGUAGCGAUUCUGACGUGCAAAUCGAUCGUCGGAACUGGGUAUAGGGGCGAAAGACUAAUCGAACCAUCUAGUAGCUGGUUCCCUCCGAAGUUUCCCUCAGGAUAGCUGGCACUCGAUCGAAAACAACCGAAUAUCGAACGAGUCUCAUCCGGUAAAGCGAAUGAUUAGAGGCAUUGGGGUCGAAACGGCCUCAACCUAUUCUCAAACUUUAAAUGGGUGAGAUCUCCGGCUUGCUUGACAUAUGAAGCCGGAGAUCGGAUCAACGGGUGCCAAGUGGGCCACUUUUGGUAAGCAGAACUGGCGCUGUGGGAUGAACCAAACGUCGAGUUAAAGCGCCAAAAUCGACGCUUAUGGGACACCAUGAAAGGCGUUGGUAACUUAAGACAGCAGGACGGUGGCCAUGGAAGUCGGA